AAAUAAACGUUUUAACGUCUUCUAAAGACAAUUCCCUACCUAAAUGCAAAGUCUGAGAGACGUGGUUCACUUCCUUUAGCUAGUCAGUCGGCAAUUCUGCAACAGUGGCUCUAACUGACGCAGCACCAGUUGACAGACAGCAUUACAGCGUGAAAUCCAGCUUGUGACCCGGUUCUGUAAGGAAUUCUGUUCAGGAGGUCACAUUUCAGGCUCUCCACAUCAUAUGUGACUGACUUUUACGUUAUAACAACGAUCACACACUAGGAAUGUUAUAAAGCGCCUAUAUAGGAGAUUCUUUUGUAUAUUAUCUGACUUUAUAAACUCCCAACAACAAUGUGCUUCUAUUUUUUUUUUCAGGCUAAAUCUACCCAAGACACUGGCUGUCAGACUGAUUUAGCUGCAAGAAUGCACUUGUCCAGGCUGAUGUGAAACCUUCCCUGUAGCAAAGCCAGCCAGAAUGGAGUUCACAGCCGCAGUGUGUCUGGUGACCCACGGGGACCAUGAUGAAAAUUCAUCUUCCAGAAGGUCCCAGAGCAGCGGCCACACCCCCUGAAAAGACCAAGGUGUGAGGUGUCUGCUGUUGAUUCCAGCUUCCACCUCAGUGACAGUGCAAGCUCAGUGAACUGUUCAAGGACACUCAGCAAAAUAUGGACUCUACACCAUGAGGCAGGCACACGUUAAUAACUAUAAGAGCACAUAAGGUGAGCAACACCACAUAUUAUUGUACACUGUCCUGAAUUUGUUUUCUUUCUGCAUCUCAUUAGCCUGGCUGAUCACCUGAUAACUCCUGUCAUCUGGUUAUGACAGCAUGAGGAUGUCUUCACUCACCUGUAACCUAUCAGCUCAUCUGGCAGAAUAGAGAGAGAAGAGACAACACCACAUCUCCUGUUCCUGGAAAGCCUUCAGCCAUCCUUCGAUGACUGAGAACCUCCAUCAGCUCUGUCUCCUGUCUGCCUCCAAUUAUU